UACGAGAGGUCCAAGCGUUAUCCGGAAUUAUUGGGCGUAAAGGGUGUGUAGGUGGUCAUGUUAGUCUUUUGUGAAAGCCCGUCGGCUCAACCGAUGGAACGCAGGGGAAACGGCAUGACUCGAGGAUGCGAGAGGUAAAGGGAACUCAUGGUGUAGGGGUGAAAUCCGUUGAUAUCAUGGGGAACACCGAAGGCGAAGGCACUUUACUGGCGCACUUCCUGACACUGAGACACGAAAGCGUGGGUAGCGAAUGGG
rnacentral:rRNA from 1 species